GGGCAUGUGGUGUAUAUGGUAACACCCCGGUACUCAUUAUCCGGCAUCCGGAGUAGUCGGUUCGAGUCCGACCAUGUCCA